ensembl:lincRNA Gm43971 predicted gene, 43971
GGCAGUUUGUAAUGGCGCUUCCAUUCUUCCUGACUUCUUCAGUCUAACCAAGAGUUUCUAGCCUUUUUGUCUAGGCUUGCGUUCUUCAUGCCAGAAAUUCAUUGUGCAAUUAGCCCCAUCAUUGGAUGAAGCUUCAAGUAUCUUUAUACACAGUUUUUCUGAUGCUGACAUGGUACAUUUAAAUGGAAAUGAAAAUGAUGAUGGCAUCAAAAUGGCAAGCUUUCGAUGCCCCUUCUUCUAUAUAGCAAUGACUCCGGAAGACAUUUAUCAAAUAAAAUAAGAUUCAUGCCUAUAACCCCAGCAUUUCAGAUUUGGAGGCAAGAGGAUCUCAGGAAUUCAAGGUCAUCCUUGGCUCUACAGAGAGUUCAAGGCCAGCCUAGACUAUAUGCUUCACCUCAAAGAAAACACAAAAGCAAGGCUUUCCUCGUGGCUCAGCAGAUAGGAGUGCACAGCAUGGAAACCCAAGUUCAAGUCCUCAGUACCCAUAACAUGACCAUUGCACCCAUGAACUUGCUGCUGCUAUGAUAACCUGCACAAGAUCAGGGCAGCAUGAUCAGUCAACAUUCUAACAGACAGCACUAAUUAGACUCAAUAUGAGGGGAGAGGAAGAGGGAGAGGGAGGAAGUGAAGAAGGAAGGGCUAUGUUGGGGAGGUCUCGGCAGCAUUGGAAGGGACUUAGGAGGGGUAUAAUUACAUUCAUUGUUUGCACUUGUCAAAGAAUAAAUAAAAAUGUUUUAAGAAAC